rnacentral:rRNA from 1 species
GAUGAACGCUGACAGAAUGCUUAACACAUGCAAGUCGAUGGGGAAGUGGUGCUUGCACCCUGGUAACCAUGGCGGACGGGUGAGUAACGCGUAAGGAACUUGCCUGCGGGACUGGGAUAACAGCAGGAAACUGCUGAUAAUACCGGAUAAGGUCAUUAAGCUGCAUAGCUUAGUGAUGAAAGGAGACGCCUGCGGAGAGCCUUGCGUCCUAUUAGCUAGUUGGAGGGGUAACGGCCCACCAAGGCGAAGAUAGGUAGCCGGCCUGAGAGGGUGGACGGCCACAAGGGGACUGAGAUACGGCCCUUACUCCUACGGGAGGCAGCAGUGGGGAAUAUUGGACAAUGGGGGUAACCCUGAUCCAGCAAUUCUGUGUGCACGAAGACGGUUUUCGGAUUGUAAAGUGCUUUCAGCAGGGAAGAAGGAAGUGACGGUACCUGCAGAAGAAGCGACGGCUAAAUACGUG